AGCGAACGCUGGCGGCGUGCCUAACACAUGCAAGUCGAGCGUGAAGUUUUGGAAUGAUACUUCGGUAAAGUGAAGAAACGGAAGGCGGCGGACGGGUGAGUAACGCGUAGGUAACCUGCCCCAUACACAGGGAUAGCCUAGGGAAACCUGGAUUAAUACCUGAUGAUGCGAGGGAGUCACAUGGCUUCUUCGCCAAAGAUUGAUCGGUAUGGGAUGGACCUGCGUCUGAUUAGCUGGUUGGUGAGGUAACGGCUCACCAAGGCAACGAUCAGUAGCCGACCUGAGAGGGUAAUCGGCCACAUUGGGACUGAGACACGGCCCAGACUCCUACGGGAGGCAGCAGUGGGGAAUAUUGGGCAAUGGGCGAAAGCCUGACCCAGCGACGCCGCGUGAAGGAUGAAGGUCUUCGGAUUGUAAACUUCUUUGAUCAGGGAAGAAGAAAUGACGGUACCUGAAGAACAAGCCACGGCUAACUACGUGCCAGCAGCCGCGGU
rnacentral:rRNA from 1 species